rnacentral:lncRNA from 1 species
CAUCUUAAACCAGCAAAGGACCAGCAUAAACCAGCAAAGGGCCAUCUUAAACCAGCAAACGACCAGCAUAAACGAGCAAAGGACCAUCUUAAACCAGCAAAGGACCAGCAUAAACCAGCAAAGGACCAUCUUAAACCAGCAAAGGGCCAGCAAAAGUCAGCAAAGUGCCAGCAGAAACCAGCAAAGGACCAGCAAAUUACCAUCUUAAACCAGCAUAAUCUAGCAAAUUACCAUCUUAAACCAGUAAAGGACCAGCAUAAACCAGCAAGGGACCAGCAAAGAACAACAAAUUACCAUCUUAAACCAGCAAAGGACCAUCUUAAACCAGCAAAGGACCAGCAUAAACCAGCAAAGGACCAUCUUAAACCAGCAAAUGACCAUCUUAAACCAGCAAAGGACCAUCUUAAACCAGCAAAGGACCAGCAUAAACCAGCAAAGGACCAUCUUAAACCAGCAAAUGACCAGCAAAAACCAGCAAAGGACCAUUUUAAACCAGCAAAGGACCAGCAUAAACCAGCAAAGGACCAUCUUAAACCAGCAAUGGACCAGCAAAAACCAGCAAAGGGCCAGCAAAAGUCAGCAAAGUGCCAGCAGAAACCAGCAAAGGACCAGCAAAUUACCAUCUUAAACCAGCAUAAUCUAGCAGAUUACCAUCUUAAACCAGUAAAGGACCAGCAUAAACCAGCAAAGGACCAGCAAAAAACAACAAAUUACCAUCUUAAACCAGCAAAGGACCAGCAAAAACCAGCAAGGGCCGUGUUAAACCAGCAAAGGACCAGCAAAGGCCAGCAUAAACCAGCAAAAGACCAGCAAAUACCAGCAAAGGGCCAUGUUAAACCAGCAAAGGACCAGCAUAAACCAGCAAAGGGCCAGCAAAAACCAGCAAAUUACCAUCUUAAACCAACAAAGGACCAGCUUAAACCAACAAAUGACCAUCUUAAACCAGCAUCAUAAACAUACCUAAGCAGCAUAUGCUGUUUUUUUCAACAGGGAGAUGACACCGAAAUCAUUC